rnacentral:rRNA from 1 species
CGGGUGAGUAACACGUGGAUAACCUACCUAUAAGACUGGGAUAACUUCGGGAAACCGGAGCUAAUACAGGAUAAUAUAUUGAACCGCAUGGUUCAAUAGUGAAAGACGGUUUUGCUGUCACUUAUAGAUGGAUCCGCGCCGCAUUAGCUAGUUGGUAAGGUAACGGCUUACCAAGGCAACGAUGCGUAGCCGACCUGAGAGGGUGAUCGGCCACACUGGAACUGAGACACGGUCCAG